AGGACGAACGCUGGCGGCGUGCUUAACACAUGCAAGUCGAGCGGAAAGGCCUUUCGGGGUACUCGAGCGGCGAACGGGUGAGUAACACGUGAGUAAUCUGCCCAUCGCUUCAGGAUAGCCAUCGGAAACGGUGAUUAAUACUGGAUAUGACAUUCCUUCGCAUGUUGGGGUGUGGAAAGUUUUUUCGGCGGUGGAUGUGCUCGCGGCCUAUCAGCUUGUUGGUGGGGUAAUGGCCUACCAAGGCUUUGACGGGUAGCCGGCCUGAGAGGGUGACCGGCCACACUGGGACUGAGACACGGCCCAGACUCCUACGGGAGGCAGCAGUGGGGAAUAUUGGACAAUGGGCGGAAGCCUGAUCCAGCAACGCCGCGUGAGGAUGACGGCCUCGGUUGUAACCUCUUCUAGCACAGACGAAGUUUGUCUUUUUGGUUGUAAGUGACGGUAUGUGCAGAAGAAGACCGGACCAACUACGUACCAGCAGCCGC
rnacentral:rRNA from 1 species